UUUCCUCAGAACUGUCCGGCUCUCGCGCGCGGGCGUUUCUACGUCGUUUACCGAAAAGUGGUCCGAACAACAGUGUCAGUGAGUAAUAUGCAGUGACCCUGCUGGUCGCUGUGCGAACUUCGGAAAAACUAUGAAAAAACGCUGUCCAGUCAGCAACAUUCCUCGCGUGUUUUAAAAGUACAUAGCGUGGAAACAGUUUGAGAAUUUCACGACGUUCAUUUCUGACCUGUCUGUGUGUUGUGUGGGGCACUGGCUGUGUGUCAUUCUGUUUUGGCUUCUUACUGAACUGAAUGAAUGCAAACAUCUGUUGCAGCCAUAAGGCUUAGGUGUGGCGCUGCCCUCGAUCUGUGUUUUAAUUUUCGGACAGGUCUCAACUUCAACACCUGCUGCUGCUGCAUCGUGCAUGCGCAAGCGAAGCGAGCGCGAGCCCGGCGUAUACGACGUACAGCAGCAGGGAUCCUCACCUCGAGCAGCUGUACGUAGCUGGAGGGGAACCAGCCGGUGAUGCCGUCCUUCUCACCCUGCCACCAGCCCCCGGAGAGCGGCUGAAGGACCCGGAUGAGCUCCCCAGCCUCGAAGCGCAGUCCCUCCUGAAAUGCUGCUGUCCAGGGUCGUCCUCCUGUGGUCGGAUGCGGCGGAGGCAACGUGUGGAAGCGCACCC